CCUACGGGCGGCAGCAGUGGGGAAUAUUGCACAAUGGGCGAAAGCCUGAUGCAGCAACGCCGCGUGAAGGAAGAAGGGUUUCGGCUCGUAAACUUCUUUUCUCAGGGACGAAGCAAGUGACGGUACCUGAGGAAUAAGCCACGGCUAACUACGUGCCAGCAGCCGCGGUAAUACGUAGGUGGCAAGCGUUAUCCGGAUUUACUGGGUGUAAAGGGCGUGUAGGCGGGAAAGCAAGUCAGAUGUGAAAACCAUGGGCUAAACCUGUGGCCUGAAUUUGAAACUGUUUUUCUUGAGUACUGGAGAGGCAGACGGAAGUACUAGUGUAGCGGGGAAAGGCGGAGAUAGUAGGAGGAACACCAGUGGCGAGGGAGGUCUGCUGAACAGCAACUGACGCUGAGGCGAGAAAUCGUGGGGAGAAAACAGGAUUAGAUACCCCAGUAGUC
rnacentral:rRNA from 1 species